rnacentral:rRNA from 1 species
ACGAACGCUGGCGGCGUGCCUCAUACAUGCAAGUUGAGCGCUGAAGGUUGGUACUUGUACCGACUGGAUGAGCAGCGAACGGGUGAGUAACGCGUGGGGAAUCUGCCUUUGAGCGGGGGACAACAUUUGGAAACGAAUGCUAAUACCGCAUAAAAACUUUAAACACAAGUUUUAAGUUUGAAAGAUGCAAUUGCAUCACUCAAAGAUGAUCCCGCGUUGUAUUAGCUAGUUGGUGAGGUAAAGGCUCACCAAGGCGAUGAUACAUAGCCGACCUGAGAGGGUGAUCGGCCACAUUGGGACUGAGACACGGCCCAAACUCCUACGGGAGGCAGCAGUAGGGAAUCUUCGGCAAUGGACGAAAGUCUGACCGAGAAACGCCGCGUGAGUGAAGAAGGUUUUCGGAUCGUAAAACUCUGUUGGUAGAGAAGAACGUUGGUGAGAGUGGAAAGCUCAUCAAGUGACGGUAACUACUCAGAAAGGGACGGCUAACUACGUG